rnacentral:lncRNA from 1 species
AUUCCAUUCCUGAUUUCUCUUUUUGUAACUUACAGCUCAUCUCCCAGGCCUUCGAAAAAACUGUGAAUGCCUUGAACCAAAUUUAUCCUUUUGCUCUGAGACUUGAAAAGAAUUGUGAACUCAUUGUUUACUGGAAGUUAGCAGCUACUUGAAAUUGAACUUUUCCUGUGUGUAUACAUUACCAUCCCCUGAUCCCACAGGAAUUAUACACAGAUAUCCAGCCUCACUGGUGGAAAACAUGACCAGGCGCAGUUGGCAAACAUCAUCCAACCAGAACUGACUGUGCUACCAGAAGGUUUGAGGCUCUUUCCAAAUAAAUUGGAUGUUCUGCAGAUGGCACUCA